rnacentral:rRNA from 1 species
UGGGGAAUAUUGCGCAAUGGGCGAAAGCCUGACGCAGCGACGCCGCGUGUGGGAUGAAGGUCUUCGGAUUGUAAACCACUGUCGGGAGGGACGAAGCUCUGACGGUACCUCCAAAGGAAGCACCGGCUAACUCUGUGCCAGCAGCCGCGGUAAUACAGAGGGUGCGAGCGUUGUCCGGAAUCACUGGGCGUAAAGGGCGCGUAGGCGGCUUGAUAAGUAGGGGGUGAAAUCUCAUGGCUCAACUGUGAGGCUGCCUUCUAGACUGUCUGGCUUGAGCACAGUAGAGGCGAGUGGAAUUCCCGGUGUAGCGGUGGAAUGCGUAGAGAUCGGGAAGAACAUCGGUGGCGAAGGCGGCUCGCUGGGCUGUUGCUGACGCUGAUGCGCGAAAGCGUGGGGAGCAAA